AAAUGUGACUGCAGCUAGUUGCCAAAUCGCAAACGUUUCAUAUAUCAGAUGAGGACGUGGCUGCAGCCAGUGAAUGACUCUUAUAAGAUGCAGGGUCUGCUUUCUUUGACACGAAUCACCAAAAUAAGUGCCUUUAAGAAUUCAACGUCAAAUUUGAAGCAACACAUUGAGGGUCACGGGGGAGCCUGGAGCCUAUCCCAGGGAGCAUCGGGCACAAGGCGGGGUACACCCUGGACAGGGUGCCAGUCCAUCGCAGGGCACACAAUCACACACACAUUCACACACCCAUUCAUACGACACGGCAAUUAAUACUUUUCAGAAAUAUAACUUUUUCAAAAUAUGAAAGCUCGUCUGAUGCAGAAGAAGGUACACCCAUUUUACCCAAGGCACCUUUAACGGGAAUGUAGUAUAAAUCAAUGUGAGCUAGUUUUGGUGAGCUUGCACCCACUGCAGCCAC
ensembl:lncRNA